rnacentral:lncRNA from 1 species
GGAAAAUAUACUGUAUAGAGAACAGCAGUGCUUGGUUUUAUGUUUCAUAUUUUCUCCACAGAAUGAGUACGUAUUUAAGUUUAAAACAGCCAGUUCCAUCUUUUUCAUGGAUUCUGCCAAUUAUAGAUCCUUCCAUUAUGAAGAAGAGUAAAGCCAGCAAGUGGGUACAUCGUGGAUAGGGUGGUAGCUGAUGGCAUCAUAGGAAUUGCUUAUAAAAUAGCUUCCCCUUCUAAAUGAUUAAUUAUUUGAAGGUGGCUUCUUGAGCUUUUGUAGUGGUACUUAAAAGUGAUUUAUUUUCAUCUUUCCUUUCCUCAUCUUCCUUUGCUUCCUUAUCAUUAAAAUUGUACUUUGUGUUGAUGUUUGCUUCUCAUGGGACAUCUAAUAGGUUAACCAGAGCGCAAAGAAACAAGUCAUCUUGUCCUCAGGGACAGAAUUCAACGCCGUCAAAUCUCUCAUAUUGGGAAAGGUUUUAGAGGCUGCCGGCGCGGACCCGGACACAAGGCGGGCGGCGACUAGUGGCUUCACUGGCUGCCUCUCGGCGGUGCGCUUCGGCUGCGCUGCUCCCCUGAAGGCGGCGCUGCGCCCCAGCGGCCCCUCCCGGGUCACCGUCCGCGGCCACGUGGCCCCUAUGGCCCGCUGCGCGGCGGGGGCGGCGUCCGGCUCCCCGGCGCGGGAACUGGCUCCCCGACUCGCGGGGGGCGCAGGUCGUUCUGGACCAGUGGAUGAGGGAGAGCCCUUGGUU